UACGUAGGUGGCGAGCGUUAUCCGGAAUUACUGGGCGUAAAGCGCACGCAGGCGGUUUCUUAAGUUUGACGUGAAAACUCCUGGCUUAACUGGGAGAGGUCGUUGAAGACUGGGGAACUUGAGGCAAUGAGAGGGAUGUAGAAUUCACGGUGUAGUGGUGGAAUGCGUAGAUAUCGUGAGGAAGACCAGUGGCGAAAGCGACGUCCUGGCAUGAGCCUGGCGCUCAGGUGCGAAAGCGUGGGGAGCGAACGGG
rnacentral:rRNA from 1 species